AGGCGGGGUUGGGGAUACGCGCGAUGCGGGGGUCGGAGGGGCCAGGGGUAACGGGCUCGCGUCCCCGAAGGUGGAGUGGCAGGACCGUGGAGGUCAGCGAGUGAUUCAUUGAUUCAUUCAUUGAUUCAUGCAGCGAGUGCUCACUGAGUGCCUAGUAAAUACGAGGCCCCGUUGGGUUGCACCCUAAUGUCCACAGUAGCCCUGUGAGGGAGGUGCUACGCGUCUCUUCAUUUUAGAGAGAGAAAGCAAGAGGGGAAAGGCUCGGAACCUGUCCAAAGGCGCACAGCUAGGAAAGCGGGGCAUCCUUUUUCUUUGUGCUUUUUUCCUCCUGGCACUGAUCCCUUUCGAACGCACCGUGUGAUUUCUUUAUCAUGUUUGUUGCUGACUGUCUCCCCAGCUAGAAUCUUGCUCCGCAAGAUCGGGGAGCUCCUACACUUUGUUCACUGAGGUCUCUGCAACACGUAGAGCAGUGGAACAGGCACACAGUAGGCGCUCACCUCUUUAUCGAGUGACUAAAGGCCCAGAGGAGGCAGGCAGUUGGUUCCAGAGCCCGGGCUCUGAGGAAGUCAGACAGUGCCUAGCUCCUCGUCUGGCGAUAGUUGAGCUCUCGAUAAAUGUUAACUCCUAAAACGAGGACGAGGCACUGCGCCUCCUCGUGUCCAGGAAAACAUUUGGGUUUUCCUCCACUUCCCUGCAUCAUCAGGGUUGCUGAUUGCAUCUCCUGUGUGGUCAUUGUCUUUCCAGGGUCGGGGUGCGUAGCUGAGACCAGUGCUCGCCUUCACGCUCCAGCUUAUGUGCCCUGGGCUCCGAUUGUCAGUCUCCGGAAGAGCAGGUGUGAGGCCUCAGGAGGAGAGUAGUCUGCAGGCAUGUGAUCAUCCAGGUCUGCCGCCUCAUUUUGAUGCCAGUGUAACUGGGCCUGAGAACGUGACUUGUAAAGCUACGAGGCGCUGAAUGCCUUUGUCCUGAUGCUGCUGCAGGGGUUGCUCCAGUGGCCGCGGUUACUCUGCCCAAAAGCUCUUCAGUGACACUUUCCUUUCAAACUUCCAAGCAGGGAGGAGCAGGACAGUCAAAUGGAAAUCAUGGGAAAGGAGGAAGUGCGGGGGCGGGAACAGGGUGGUGGUGGGCCUGCAAGGGGCAGAGGGGGCAGGGGGCAAGGUCAGUGGUUUCCAGCUCCCUGUGGAACUGACCAGUGCUGGCUCUUCACCUCCUCCUCCGCCCUCUCCUCCCCCCAGGGCUCUCAGCCCUGUUUUCUCUCUCUCCUGCAAACCACAGCAAGGUGUCCCUGUCCUCCACACUUUGUCCAGGGUCCUACACCUCUAGGGCUCAGCGUGAGCAUAGGUGAUUUGUAAUCAUUUUUAAUAUUCAUUUUACUAGUAAUUAGUAUUCACUGUCACAAAUGAGAAAAUGCAAGUACCCAGCAGAGGACAGGUGAAAUCACCACUCAGAGGUAAGCAGUGUCUGCAGUGAAACAGAUGCUCUUCUAGACUCUCUUCCUCAGUUCGGACACACUGCUGAACAAGUGGCAUCGUGCUGCACUUGCUUUUUUGGAACCUGCUUUUAAACAUGUUGAGAAAUGCAAACAAGAUUCCAUAGCAUUUUUAAAGCCCACGAGGUGUCCCGUUGUGUGUGUCUUAUUUUUUAACUGAGUCCCCUCUGCUGGAGGUUUAGUUGCUUCCAAGUUUCUGGAUGCUGCAAACAAGUUAAUAUCCUUGCGGCUUUGUGCUCAUUUGUGAUGAUUGCUUACUUAGGGUGCAUUUCCAGGAAUAGAAUUCUUGAGAGAAAGGAGGUGUCAGGUUGUUAAUGGCUUCUGGGUAGAUGUCUUUAAACACAAGCCAUACAUCCGUCCAGGAAGAGAAAAAAGAUUCUGUGUGCAAAAGCCACAUGAUCUUAGCCAUGUCCCACGGGGACAGGCUAGAGCUACGAGGCCGUGUUUCCAGGUCAUUCUGACGGUUCAAGGAAGAUUCUUACUGGGCUGGCGAUGAUGGUCUCAGGGCUGUGUGCACUGAUCUCGACCCUCUAAUCCUGCCUUUGUAGAUCUCCAUCCUUUGUCCGGGGCAGAACAGGAUGGCCAAGUCCCAGUGAGAGUUCUUUUCCACGGAAAUUCUGUGUACUCUGAGCUGUGAAAACAUCACUCAACUGUUUGGAUAGCCCCACUGCUGGGGCCCAGUGGUUCCACUGAUGCAGGACCAAUUGUUAGGUGAAUUUCUCAACUACUAGGAUUUGUAUUAUACUUCAGAUGUCCAUUUGGAAUGCACAUGAUUUGGGAUUUUCCAGUUAUCUUCCUACAUGUGGUACAUGACUAGAGUUCUGAUUUCUUAAUUCUGGCAAGUUGAUGACCAGAUACAUAACCACAAGGAAAGCCAAGACAAGCCUCUGUGGCAAACUGCAUUCAUACACAAGGAAACAGUGAAGGAUGAACGUGGCCAAGAAUUCAGAACAUGCAGAAAAAUCAUUUAUCCGAGCCCAGACUUUGUUUCUAUAAGACAACGACUCCCUAAAUAUUAUUCAUGGGGAAGGAGUUCAAAACAUAAUUUAAACUUUCUUAGUCAAAACAGAAGCUACGUAAGAAAGAAAGAUGAUGAAUGUAAGGCCUAUUGGAAAUUAUGCUUCCAUUCUAAUCUUGAUCAAGCUCAACCUGGAGAGACCAUCUUUGAGCCUAAUCAACGUGGAAAAGCCCUCCACCAUAAGCAAAGCCUUAAUAAAAGUCGGAGAAUUCAAACUGGGGAGAAACUCUAUGAAUGUUCUGAAUGUGGAAAAGUGUUUAUCCAGAAAGCUAACCUCGUUGUACAUCAGAGAACUCACACAGGAGAGAAACCUUAUGAAUGCUGUGAAUGUGCAAAAGCCUUCAGUCAGAAGUCAACCCUCAUUGCACACCAGAGAACUCAUACAGGGGAGAAGCCCUAUGAAUGCAGUGAAUGCGGGAAAACCUUUAUCCAGAAGUCAACUCUGAUCAAACAUCAGCAAACUCGUACAGGAGAGAAACCCUAUGAAUGCAGAGAAUGUGGCAAAGCCUUCAGUGGGAAGACAGCUCUCGUUAAACAUCAGAGAAGUCAUUCAGGAGAUCAAACCUAACAAUAAACUUUCAAGUGGGAUAACUUUAUCCAUAAAUUAUAUAUCGUUAUACUAUGCAGCAAAGAACUCAUUGAGUAACCGUGUAAAUCUAAUGAACAUCAGAAAGCACUCAGCCUUUAUUAGAUUUAAGAAAACUCAAAGUUAUGAUAAAGCGUACAAUAAAUGUGAUAAAUUCUUCACCCAGGAGUUUUAAUACAUUGUACAUCAAAGAAUUUAUGAAGGGUCAAAACCAUGAAUAUAGUGAAAGUUGGAAAGCCUUUGGAAAGAAGUUAAAUGUCAUUUUAUAUUAGAGCUCUUAUGUUCAGGAGACACUAUCAAUUUAAUGAGUUGGAGAACCCCAAUUUCCUAGAAAUUAUAUUGUGAGGAAAAUGAAGUUCUAGAUGUCGUCAUACAUUUUAUAGAAAAGAUCAUAGAGGUUACAAUCAAGCACUCAAUUUUAAAUUAUAUACAUAUUCACUCCAGAAUAAAGUUUUGAAGUAUAAAUACAUUGAAUAAUCAGGAGGACAGAGGAAAAAACAUAUUAACCCUUGCUAGGCAAAACUCCCAGAUUAAUCUGUAAAUAGAUAGACCCUAAAUAGAUUAGUCUGAGAGAGGAUGUGCCCGCAGGAUCCUCACACAAAAGGAACCCAAGCAGAGGAACUGACACAUGUGUUCUAUCAUUAUAAGUGUGCAAAUGUCUUAUGAAGAAAGAUUGUAUCCUUCUGGGAUAUUUCUUAGAACAGUGGUCACAAUUUAUUAUAUUCUGUUCAUAAGAAGUAAUUAUAUUAUGGUGAGACAAUAGGAGGUUAAGGAUUUCCAGGAAAUAUCCUGUAAGAACAGUAUUAAUUGAAAUAAAAAUUAGAAGCAUCUUGAAUAUCCAAUGAUAGAUGAUUGUAGAUCUAUCAAUAGUUAAAUUGCUAUAAUAUGCUGCCAUUAAUUAUGUAUCCAUUAUUUUGUUUAAGGAUUUGGAAAGUGUGGAAGAUAUAAACUGUACUUUAUGAUCUGUGUUGUAAAAUGAUAUGUAUAACAAGGAUAUGCACCAUUAUGAUUUCAGUAUCUCUGGGUUGUGGGAAUAUAAGCAAAUUUUUGAUUAGUAAAAACAUAUGAUGAUUA